rnacentral:antisense_RNA from 1 species
AGGUGGGUGUCGCUGAGUGACCGGACAGAUUUCUUCUGCUUUCAGUCUCUUUUCAUGGGUCCUUCAGAAUGAGUUUUGGAAAGGAGAAAAACAAAAAGAGACCAGAAGGAACUGAGAAGCUCAAAGCAUCAAAGGACACAGCAAUAUGAGAGACCAUCAACUGAUAUACAAGCCACACCGAGAAGUUGCCAUUUGCAAGAGAGCUAUUAAUGAAAGUCACAUACCUGAAGCUCUAAAAGCAGCCCAGGGAAUGGGGAAAAUUCCCUGUCUCCAAAACAGAAGAUGAAGCCACCGUGAAGCCAAUAGCAAAAAAGUGAUCAAGCCAGAAAUCCUGCUGACUCAGGAAAUUCUAUUCUGCUAUUAGACGAGGCUAAAUGUCAGAGCACCUAGUCUGCCGUGUAUUCUUAAUAGGGUUCCUGUACUUAGCUUUGUAACAGCCUGUGGGGUUUAACUCAUUCACUAAAGAAACAUAUUGAAUGAGGACCCUGGGCCAAAGCACCACAUAUAGUCAUCCCUCGGUAAAGUAGGGAAGAAGUGGGGAUUG